GCCUGGGUGGCUCAGUUGGUUAAGCAUCUGACUUCGACUCAGGUCAUGAUCUCACAGUUCAUGGGUUCAAGCCCCACAUUGGGCU
rnacentral:tRNA from 1 species